rnacentral:lncRNA from 1 species
CCGCCGUCUGCUUCGAGGCUGGAACGACCCCCAUCCCAAAACGCAUGCCCGCCGGGUCACUUGGGAGGACUCAGGGGACUCCCUUCCACACCCCGUGGCCAGACUCAGGGACCACAGGGCCCCCACGCACCCAGGACUCCAUCUCUGGGGUCUCAGACGCUCCCGCCGCACACGCCCCGGGCGCCCAGGCGCCCGGCUCUGCACACACCGUUUGUCCUCAGCAGGUCCUGGCAGCCGAGCAGCGCCGCGCGCUCCGUGGAGGCUGCGGAGAGAGGCUCCUGCAGGCAAGGC